GAAACCCUUCAAAGCCUUCUCAGGCUCAUUGCCUACACCUGUCCACUAGGAGAGCCGGGUAGCCGGGUCUCUCCCUCACAGAGGCUGUACCUGCUAACUCCUCCUGCUGUUACUGAUGCUUGCUGAUGCUGUUUCUGUUGCUGCUACUGCUUACCCUUCACUUCACUGCCCUCCCAUUCACCCGGACUGAACAACUUCUCCGUCUCCGUCUUCCUUGGCUUGGCGCUCCCAUCCAUCACACGGAAUCAGGCAGUCACCGAGUCCUGUUUGAUUCUGAACAACAUCUUGUGUCAACUAGAGAAAACACAGAACUAUUAAAUAGUCAAAAUCACUCUUUAAUCAAGGGAAAAGGGGUUCGCGCUACUAAUGCAACAACAGAGCUGAUUUCCAAGACUGCACAGAGUCAAGACGCCCUGGUCACCAGCCCCUGGGAGUGCCACCGACUCAGGAUGGACUCCGAGGAACAAAAGAACUUGGGGAACCUAUAUGCCACUCUAGAUGACCUGGGGGGUUUAGGAUUAGAGGGACAGUUGAUUGACUUUACAAUGACGACUGCACCUCAGAGCUCUUUCAGCCUUCUCCCAGACAGAGGAAGUUACUUUUCGCUGGCAUCAGUCUUUGACCCGUGUGUCUAUGUAGUCACACUCUCCUCAACAAAUUCCGAGUGUGGCCUUGGGAGAUUUCUGACUGGAUCAUAA
rnacentral:lncRNA from 1 species